rnacentral:rRNA from 1 species
UACGUAGGGUGCAAGCGUUGUCCGGAAUUAUUGGGCGUAAAGAGCUCGUAGGCGGUUUGUUGCGUCGGCUGUGAAAUCCCGAGGCUCAACCUCGGGUCUGCAGUCGAUACGAGCAAACUAGAGUGUUGCAGGGGAGACUGGAAUUCCUGGUGUAGCGGUGAAAUGCGCAGAUAUCAGGAGGAACACCGGUGGCGAAGGCGGGUCUCUGGGCAAACAACUGACGCUGGAGGAGCGAAAAGCGUGGGGAGCGAACAGG